CACGUAGGGUGCGAGCGUUGUCCGGAAUUAUUGGGCGUAAAGAGCACGUAGGCGGUGUGUCGCGUCGGCCGUGAAAACCUGCAGCUUAACUGUGGGCUUGCGGUCGAUACGGGCAUCACUGGAGUUCGGCAGGGGAGACUGGAAUUCCUGGUGUAGCGGUGAAAUGCGCAGAUAUCAGGAGGAACACCGGUGGCGAAGGCGGGUCACUGGGCCGCAACUGACGCUGAGGAGCGAAAGCAUGGGGAGCGAACAGG
rnacentral:rRNA from 1 species